CAAUAGUUUAAAAAAAUCUUAAGUUUAGAUUUUAAUAAAUGGAGAAUUGCUAAGCUGUCUCACGAGGAGGAAGACAACCAAAUAGAAGACAUGAAACUUGCAAAGGAAGCUUUGUCAAUUUCAUAGCUAUUCAUAUACCGUCAGAAAGGGGACACAGUAGGAUUAAAAAGAAAGAUGACUAUCGACCAGGUAUCACGUGAUUAGAUGGAUAAUCUCAGGUAACUCUUAAGAACAGAUUCACUCAAAUCAAUCUUAAUUUAGGAUAAAGAGGAAAAUUCACUUUGUUGUUUAACUUUAAUUUAUUAAUUUUAUUUUUUUUCUAAUCAUUCUAGGUAGGCUAAUACAUUUCAGCAGAUAUCCUUAAUCAUUCCACAAUGUUUGAAAAUAUUUUUCAUGGAAGAAACAUGUAAAAAGAAUAUUUAAAGAAAAUGUUUAGACAUAGGAAACUUGAUAUGGAGUACAGAGAAUUCCAUUUGCAUAGGCUCAUUCCUCUCUGUUUCUGUUACUAUAGACAUCCUCAUCACCAUAGUAGCUGUUACAGUUGACUAACUCACAUUAAUAUAGCAUUAACCAAAGUCUAACUAAUAUUGGUAUAGUAUUAACCUGAGUCUUAUCCUAAUAAAGCAUUAACCAAAGUGCUUACAUACAUUAGGGUUCAAUUUGUGUUUGUGGCUUACAGUUUCUGAAAAUCUGUAAUAUGCUGUCAAUCAUUUUUACUCUACAGAAAUAGUUUAACUGACCUACAAACCCCAUUUACACAGCUUUCAUCCCCUUUUACCCUUAAGUUCUUUACUAAGACCCUAAGUCUUUCAUCAUUUUCUUUCUUUCCCAUCCACAAGAUUGUAUUGUUAGGAUAUAAGGGAGAAUUUAUUUGGGGCUUUAUGUUCCAGAGAGCAUUGGUGGAGCAGAAGGCUUGCCCAGAAAGCCACACCUUCGAGCUCAUUAUAUUGGACAGCAAGCAGGAAACAGAGAGUGAAGUAGACACAAUACUGGUUUUUUGAAAACUCAAAGCCCAUGCACAAUAAGGCCAUACCACCAAAUCUUUCAUCAACAGU
ensembl:lncRNA